rnacentral:rRNA from 1 species
GCGGCGAACGGGUGAGUAACGCGUGAGCAAUCUACCUUAGUUACUGGGAUAGCCCGAGGAAACUCGGAUUAAUACCGGAUAUUCUUAUUUUUUCACAUGAAGUUUUAAGGAAAGGUCAGCCGAACUAAGAUGAGCUCGCGUUCUAUCAGCUAGUUGGUGGGGUAAAAGCCUACCAAGGCUACGACGGAUAGCUGGUCUGAGAGGACGAUCAGCCACACUGGGACUGAGACACGGCCCAGACUCCUACGGGAGGCUGCAGCAGGGAAUAUUGCGCAAUGAGCGAAAGCUUGACGCAGCGACACCGCGUGUGGGAUGACGGUUCUAGGAUUGUAAACCACUUUCAGGAGGGAAGAAAAUGACGGUACCUCCACAAGAAGACCCGGCC